rnacentral:rRNA from 1 species
AUGAUCCGCGCGUUCCUGGACCGCUCCUCUUGCUCAAUUGUCUGCAUUCAGGAGUCGAAGCUUUCGUCCUUCUCGGCCGCCGACCGUAGUGAGAUUGUUGGGCCGCGGUUUGACAUGCAUGCCGCCCUGGAUGCGAACGGCACCAGGGGAGGCAUCCUCCUCUGCUGGAGGUCCGAUCCGUUCACUGCUAGCUCAGUUGUGACUAGGGAGUUUUCCAUCACGGCUCGCUUAAUGCCGGUGGACGGGGGGGACCACUGCUACUGGCAGUUCAUUGCCGGCUUCAAUGAGGUGGUGCAACAAGCUUGGAUGGAGGGCACAGGCAGCAGAUGCCCAAUCGCUCGCCUGAAUGCCAAGCUUUGGCGCACAAGCAAAGCGCUUAGGAACUGGAGCAGGGUGCAUGUGGGCGACUUGCAACGGCAACUUGGGAUUGCCACGGAGUUGAUCUUUCAACUAGAAACUGCUCAGGAGUCCCACCAACUCACUGAAGAUGAGCGCGAGCUGCGUGCCAAACUUAAGUCUAGGACAUUGGGGUUGGCUGUGCUACUUAAGAUCAAGAGAAGGCAACGCAGCAGGGUCUUAUGGCUUAAGGCCGGGGAUGCCAACACAAAAUUCUUUCAUCGAAAAGCCAAUGCUCGGCACAAGAGGAACACAAUCCAUGUCUUGCAUGGGGCGCAAGGGCCUAUUACCUCGCCUGAUGCAAUGACAUAG